AUGCCCUGUGCCUUCUUCUUGAGAAAAUUAUCCCCGGCCGAGAAAAAUUAUGAUAUUGGCAAUCAAGAACUCCUUGCAGUGAAACUUGCUCUGGAAGAAUGGAGGCACUGGUUAGAGGGAGCCAGGCAACCAUUUCUCGUGCUUACAGACCACAAAAACCUUCAGUACCUAAGGGAAGCAAAGAGACUCAAUCCUCGCCAGGCUCGGUGGGCCCUGUUCUUUACCCGGUUUCACUUCAAAAUAUCCUACCGCCCCGGAUCCAAGAACACCAGAGCCGAUACAUUGUCACGCCUCCACACCCAUGAAGAAGUCCCGGAAGAGCCAGAACCCAUCAUCCCCACUCGGCUCUUUGUCAAUCCCAUACAAUGGGAUCUAGAUGAACUGCUUCUAGAACAAUCACGACACCGGCCUGUUCCACCCACGUGUCCCGCUGGUAAGAUCUACGUACCUGAAGAUCACCGUACGUCCCUCAUCUCCUCUGCUCACGCAUCUGUGGGAACAGGUCAUCCCGGAGUCAGCAAGACACUCACCGCUCUUCAGCGUAAAUACUGGUGGCCUCGAAUGCAAGAGGAUAUCAAGGAAUUUAUCCAAGGCUGUGCCCUUUGCACCAUGACCAAAGUACCUCGACACUUAUCUACCGGAAAACUACUCCCAUUACCGAUUCCCCAUCGUCCAUGGUCCCACAUUGGAGUGGAUUUCGUCACCGACCUCCCAGCUUCUGAUGGUAAUACCUGCAUCCUUGUAGCCAUAGAUAGAUUCUCAAAAGGAUGUAGACUGAUUCCCCUGAAGGGCCUACCCACAGCCUUUGAAACAGCAGAACUUCUGUUUAACCCUCUGGAGUCGAUUAACGCGUAUACGCGUUUUGGGGUAUUUUCUCCUGAUAACCCCGAAAAGAACUUAAAUUACACUUUCAGUUUUGAUCGUACAGAUAAGUGCAAUACAUCAAUCGAAUCUGUAAAGGGUCUACUUUUUUUUGUAUACAGACAUAAUAACAACAAAACUUUGUGCACUUAUAAAAUAAAGAUAACAAACAAGGAGUGCUGUCUGCAGCCUUUGUCUGCGCUGAUCUUCAGAUACAAAUGCGUCAUUAAAAUGAACUGUAACUCAGUGAAUACUCAACGAAGAGACAUGAGAGAGAUAUCUAUAGAAAGCCUGACAUGUCUACUUUUAAACUAA
ensembl:lncRNA